CUCCUUUCGCGUACCCCUGUGCAUGCUGUCACAGAGACGCACCUCGCUACUGCACACGUGUAUCACGCACAACAGCAGCACCACUGUUGCUGCCCCCCUCAUCCUCAUCCAUGUCCAUUAGCUCACUGCCUCUGGAGGGGCUGACCGCGAUCGCAGACUUUUUCGACCCCGCCUCCGUCCCCCUCGCCUUCACAAGCGUGUCGCCUGCUGGGCGAGUUGCGGGGGAGCUCGCUGCCUUCGCCUGCCCUGCGCACUGCUAUGGCCAUGCCGCGUCACCGCACACCCCAAUGCUGAGCAUGGACCCGUCCCUCAUGGAGCGCGUUGCUGUGAUAACUGACACGCAGCACUUGAAGAAUGCGGAGUGGUGGAUGGUGCGGAGCCGCUGCAACGCCGACGACGACCCGUACCCAUACCCUCUCCGCAGCGUGUACUUCUGCCUGAGCUCGGCACUGGAACUGUCUGUGGAUCUCCUCGCCCGCGUGCCUCUCUGCGCGUCCACAGUAACGAAACUCAACCUGAAUGCACGCUGCGACAGCCACAAUCACAUCUCGAGCCUCGGCGCCAUCUCUCGCCUCGUCCACUUGCGCGAGCUCAUCAUGAAGAACACGACAGUGCUGCAGUCCACUCGCCAGCUACCCAUGGUCAUGACACAGGAGCUACACGCGGUCUUCCGUAAGCUGCGCAAGCUCGUUGUUGGUGACUUCUACCUAGUUAAGCAUCUCCCCCUGCACGACCUGCCAGAGUUGGAGGAAGUAGACCUGAGUGGAACCGGUGUCACGAACGGCGUCGUGCAGGCACUGUCGAGCUGCCACCGCGUGCACACCCUCACACUAAGCGGUUGCGUCGGCAUCGACUCCUUCGCUCCCUUGACCGCGCUGACGCGCCUUUCUCAGCUUGACUUGUCGCACACACGCCUCGACAACACGGAGCUUCUGCACCUCUGCCGCAGCUGCCCACAGCUGUUCUUUCUAGCACUCAAUAGCUGCAACCGCAUCACCGACUUCUCUCCUCUAGCGCUGCUAGAGGACUUGACAUACCUCCACGUGGCCCGAACGCGCUUCCGCAACUCUGACCUCGAGCGUAUCCAUGCUUUCCCAGAGCUGGAGGAAGUGCACAUGUCCUCAUGUCGCGUCGUCGACAUUUUCACGCCGCUAGCGGAUCUGCGAACGCUGCGGAUGCUUGACGUGCGGGACACGUGGAUGGACGACGCCGGUGUCGAGGCUGUCGCGCGGUGCUGCCAGCUGCUACGUCUUAACAUGAGCGCCUGCCCUGCCAUCGAGCACUUCUCUCCACUUGCACGGCUCUCGUUGCUGGAGGAGCUUAACCUCUCUUGCUCGCCGGUGACGGACACGUGCCUAGCAACUCUCUGCACCGCCGCGCCGAGUCUACGCGUCUUCCUGCUCAAUGGGUGUCGUCUUGUGAGCGACUUCACGCCGCUUGGUAUCCUCGGAUCACUCGAGGAGGUCGGCGCCUGCGACACGGCCUUCAACGACGCCGCCCUUGAGGCCGUGGCACAGUGUCCGCAGCUGACGAAGCUGCACCUGCACGUGUGCACCGGACUCACAUCGUUGGCCCCCUUGGCGGCUUGUUCUCAUCUCAUCUACCUCGGCAUCGGUGGCACGCGUUUCUCGAGCAAUGCUUCUGAGCGCGAGUGCGCCUCUCUCCAGGAGCGCGGCGUGCGGCUCAGCCAUCAGGUGUUUCUUGGCACGGACUUUUAGCCACCCCUUGAUGUGGUGCCACACGCAUUGCAGCCGACCACCUUCCCUGCAGCGCUCCCCCGUGCACUCUGAUGGAGAUGACGCCAGUGUGUUCAACAACAGAAGAGAAAGUGGCAUCGCUAGUAAGUGCUAUGUGCAUCUCUCUUUUGGUGGUUAGACUCUUUUCUUUUGCUUCCUCUGCUGCUGCUCUUUUCCUCUUCUUUCCUCAAACACCCUUCAUGUAGGCGUGGCACCAGUGAGUAUAUGUGUGUCUGUGUCUCCGUGCACGCAUACACUGUCUCAUAGCUCCCUUCACCUUCCUCUCUUUUUUUUUUUCAGCCUUCUGGGAGGAGAUGAUGCACUCUCACAUCUUGUUCGCCAAAGCCGUCACGGUGCCACGGAGCCCGUAGGCAGACCCUCGCUGCUCUCUCACUUUCUAUCCAGCUCUCAAUUGCACUUUCCAUUUCUGUCUUGUUCUCACGCUCUUUCUUCGCUUAUUAAUCUGCUCCGUGGCACCAGUUCUAUGGCUGCCUUUUGCCGCUUACGGCGGUACAACGUGAGGCUCUGUCUUUUCCUCUCUUACACUCUGUUACCUGUGCAACCAGCAUCUCUGCUUCUCGCUCUUCGUCAGCUUUUCUUGUAUCUUCUUCUCUCUCCCUGUCUUGCGUAGGAUCUGCUUUUCAUUUGUUUUCCUCGUGUCUGCUGGGAUCGUGCCGUGCGGUGAGAUGCACAAGUGCGGAACCCGUGCGCACUCGGAUACACAUAUAUACAUGCUCAUACAUGAGCACAGCAGCCCGAGGCACGGAUGUCUGGGCUUCCUAUACACACAUCCUGUCAAGUGCCAGCCCACGUUCGGCUCUCAUCGCACGACAAGGAUGGCAGCGCCUGCACCGCCCUCCUCUUCUUUCCAGCGUUCUCGUCAGCAUAGCCUCCACAACUCUGCCCACAUGAACACUUCUUCGCGCCACCCAUUUUCGUUAUAUCAACAGCACUACCGACAUCCCCCUACGAGAAAGCAAAAAGAAGGAUGUCGACUCAUCCAUCUUACCAAAACGCCUUUUUUCUUUAUGUCUUUUAUGCUCUUCCCACUCGCCGAUGAUUCCGUGACCCUUCCAUCUCCGUGUGCGUUUUCUGUUGCUGUGUUCCGUGUUGUAUGAGUGUGCUUGUGUGCGCGUGUUCCCUGAUAACCCUUCUCUCUUUGUUAUUCUUGCUCCGCCUUGUCCACUACAGUCAUCACUGCCUUUAUCGUGAGUGUCGUGCCGGCGUUCAUCAACCAUCUCUGUUUCUGCCUAUGAGCGUGGUGGUGGAGGCUACGUCAUAUCUCACACUCAGUGCCCCCACACCGACUCACGCAUGUCCGAUCUGACGUACCACGGCACGCACGAUCAAACGAACGGUGCCAUCUGCUCUACGUUUUUCUUUCUUCCCUUUGCCUCUCUCUAUUUCGUUGCCUCUCUUCUACGACGCCACGCGCACUUCUCCCUCGCCUCGAGCCUCACGACUCUUUCUUACUGGAUAUAUGUGCCCCUCUGUUUCUUUCACUGUGCGUGUGUGACACAUUCCUGACGAUUGACUCAGCUCUUCCGUUCUUCGCAUUUCAUCUUCACUGUUCCUCAUGCUUCACCCACUCGUUCACUCAUACACUCUCUCGAUGUGUCUGUGUCACACAAACGCACAUGCAUGCGCGAGUAUCUUCGCGUGACUUGUUGCUCGUCUGUCAGCGAUUACCCCAUUGUGUUUCUGGUGUGUAUCGACUUGUCCUGCAAGAUGUGUU
rnacentral:misc_RNA from 1 species